rnacentral:rRNA from 1 species
UACAGAGGGUGCGAGCGUUGUCCGGAAUCACUGGGCGUAAAGGGUGUGUAGGCGGCUCGGUAAGCGUGUGGUGAAAGCCCGGGGCUCAACCCCGGGUCUGCCGUGCGAACUGCCGAGCUUGAGCACAGUAGAGGCGGGUGGAAUUCCGGGUGUAGCGGUGGAAUGCGUAGAUAUCCGGAAGAACACCGGUGGCGAAGGCGGCCCGCUGGGCUGUUGCUGACGCUGAAACACGACAGCGUGGGGAGCAAACAGG